CCUACGGGCGGCUGCAGUGAGGAAUAUUGGUCAAUGGGCGCGAGCCUGAACCAGCCAAGUAGCGUGAAGGAUGACUGCCCUACGGGUUGUAAACUUCUUUUAUAAAGGAAUAAAGUGAGGCACGUGUGUCUUUUUGUAUGUACUUUAUGAAUAAGGAUCGGCUAACUCCGUGCCAGCAGCCGCGGUAAUACGGAGGAUCCGAGCGUUAUCCGGAUUUAUUGGGUUUAAAGGGAGCGUAGAUGGGUUGUUAAGUCAGUUGUGAAAGUUUGCGGCUCAACCGUAAAAUUGCAAUUGAUACUGGUAGCCUUGAGUACAGUUGAGGUAGGCGUAAUUCGUGGUGUAGCGGUGAAAUGCUUAGAUAUCACGAAGAACUCCGAUUGCGAAGGCAGCUUACUAAGCUGCCACUGACAUUGAGGCUCGAAAGUGUGGGGAUCAAACAGGAUUAGAUACCCGUGUAGUC
rnacentral:rRNA from 1 species